rnacentral:misc_RNA from 1 species
UCUCCGUUGGUGAACCAGCGGAGGGAUCAUUACAGAGUUGUAAAACUCCCAAACCCAUGUGAACAUACCUGUUGCCUCGGUGGCCUACCCGGUAGCUACCCUGUAGUUACCCUGUAGUCCGCCGACGGCCCACAACUCAUUGUCUGACUCUAAGCAUCUCCGAGCCAUACACAAACGAAUCAAAACUUUCAACAACGGAUCUCUUGGUUCUGGCAUCGAUGAAGAACGCAGC